GGCCUCCCAAAGUGCCGGGAUUACAGGCGUGAGCCACUGCAGCCAGCCUUGGAAGAAAUUUAAAUGCAUGUUACUAAGCAAGAGAAGCCAACCAAAAAUGCUACAUACUGUAUUACUUCAAAUAUGUGGCAUUCUGGAAAAGGCAAAACUUUUUGGAGACAGAAAAAGGAUCAGCGGUUGCCAGGGUUUAGAGGGAGGGCAGGAUGCAUAGGUGGCACACUGAGGAUAUUUAGGGCAGUGAAACUGUUCUGCAUGACACGGUAAUGGUGGAUGCAUUCCAUUAUACAUUUGUCAAGACCUAUAGAAGGUCUACCACCAAGAGUAAGCCCUACGUAGACUAUGGACUUUGGGUGAUAAUGACCUGUCAAUGUAGGAUUAGCAAUAGUAACAAAUGCACUGCUUUGGUGAAGGACACUGAUAAUGGAGGAGGCUGUGCACAUGUGGGAACAGGGUAUAUAUGUGGGGAAUCUCUGUAUCUUCCACUCAAUAUUGUUAUGAGUCUAAAACUGCUCUAAGAAACAGUCUAUUCUUUAAGAAAUAGGAGAAAAGAGGAGAAGAAAGAGGGGGCGGGGGAAACAGGGAGAUCUGUAGGCUCCUGCGGAAGGUCAUUGCAAAAUACUGGUGAUUCCAGGGAAGGUUGGAACAGCCUCUUUCUGAGAAAAAAUGAGUGUGGCAGAUGUCAGCAGAUACAAUCAUCCUCUGCCGCCUGCUGCUCUUCCUUUAUUCUUGGGUCUCUGAGCUUCUCUUUCUUGUCUGAACCCCUUUGCACACAAGGAUUAGCCAAUCAGAAUGCUUUCUCCCACUGGCAACAGUGAAGACUCCAUCCUGGAGAAUCAGAACCUUCUCUAGGAUUUUUGUUGAACUUUCAACUGUUGGUUGAAAUGGUUGCCGUGGAGAUGGUCUCAGCCUAGAGCGGCUGCUGUUCAGCUUUGGCCCCUGAAGGGAGAACACAUCUGAGGAUGAAGAAUGGUUGAGGCAUUUGUUCCUCUGGUUUUCUCUCUGCUCCAGUGCAGUAGGUUGGCCUUGCCCUUCUUCUGAAGCCCCCGUUUCCAUCGGGUGGCUGGUUUCAUGCAGCUGUGGCUCCUCACAGAUUCCCUCUCUCAGUUGCCAUAACUGCUACCCUCCUUGCUCCUACAGGCACUGGGGCAGAAGUGGUUCCUCCAUUAUUAGCAGCCCAGGGUUCUUUCAACCUGCCUACAUCUGGAAAAUACCUCCUUAUCAAACUCUUCAUCACCAGUGUCAGUUCAUGGAAGGAAUCCUUAUUGUCCCCAUCUUAAAGACCUCCGAAACGAAACCAGAGAUACUGAAUGAUUUGCCUGGGAUGACUCCGCUACCACUUGGCACAGCCACGGUGCAAACCCAGUUGGGCUGGCACUGAACACCCAGACUGUAGAUCCCUCCUGCCUGACUCAAGAGCCUCUGUCUAUAUGGAAGCAAUCAACUUAAGGUCACAAGAGGCCCAUUUCAGAAUGGGUUCUGUCCCACACUCUGGAGGAAGGAAUGCUGUAUGAGGAGGCCUAGAAGAAUCUGAACAGACAGGCUUUACUGGAGUUCCCCACUCGGCCCGUUAGUAUUAGACCAGAUCUUUUUGUCCAGUCACAUUUCUACGUGGUUGCCUAUCAAAGAAGUCUCUAUAAAAAGUCCAAGAGAACAGGGUUUGGGGAGCUUCCAGGAGGCAGGAAGGUGAACAAGAAUUCAUCCACAUGCCAGACAGCUGGUGCAUCCCAAAUCCAUGGAGACAGAAGCUCCUGCACUCAGACCCUUCCAGACCUCACCCUACAUGUUUCUUCAUCUGGCUGUGUAUUUGUAUCCUUUGAAAUAUCCUUUGUAAUAAACUGUUAAACAUAA
rnacentral:lncRNA from 1 species